rnacentral:rRNA from 1 species
GACGACGGCUGGCGGCGUGCCUAACACAUGCAAGUCGAGCGGAGUCGAUCGACGGAAGCCUUCGGGCGGAAGAUGGUUGACUUAGCGGCGGAUGGGUGAGUAACGCGUGGGCAACCUGCCUCGAAGACCGGGAUAACAGCCCGAAAGGGCUGCUAAUACCGGAUGUGGUCAAGGAUCCGCAUGGAUUUUGAUUAAAGGGGAAACCCGUUUCGAGAUGGGCCCGCGUCCUAUCAGCUAGUUGGUGAGGUAAAAGCUCACCAAGGCGACGACGGGUAGCCGGCCUGAGAGGGUGACCGGCCACACUGGAACUGAGACACGGUCCAGACUCCUACGGGGGGCAGCAGUGGGGAAUCUUCCACAAUGGGCGAAAGCCUGAUGGAGCGACGCCGCGUGAGCGAAGAAGGCCUUCGGGUUGUAAAGCUCUGUCUGGAGGGACGAAGGAAGUGACGGUACCUCCGGAGGAAGCCACGGCUAACUACGUG